ensembl:lncRNA
AUGUACAAACAAAAAAAAAAUGAUACAAAAAGUAAAAAUAAUAUAUUUGAAAAAAAAGAAGAUAAUAACAAUACAAAUAAAAGAAGAAAAUUAAUAGAAUUACAUAAAAAGGAAAAUUUUUAUCUUAUUGAUAAUUAUAUUACUAUAAAAAAAAAUAAUGAUAGUGUAAGUUGUAAAAAUUGUAACACUUUUAAAAAAAGUAACGAUAAAGUUUCAACUAAUUCGAUGGUAACCAAUUCUACAACAAAAAACAAUAAAGCAAACAAAUGUGAUACACCUAGUAUAUUCAAUUUUUUAACAAUUAAACAAAAAAAUGUCCAAAAAAAUGUCCAAAAUAAAGAUGAUACUUGUGAUACGUGUAAAUUGGUAACUUCUAUUACUACUACUACUACUACCACCGCUAAUACUACCACUAAUACUACCAUCUCUAAUACUACUAGUAGUAAUAGUAAUGAUAAUAUAACAUUAAACAUGAAUGAAAAGGAAAAACAAAUAAAAAAUAAAAUUAAUAAUAACGAUAGUAAUAAUAGUAACAAUAUAAAUGAAAGCAAAAAUGAAAGUAUAAAUAACGAAGUAGACAAAAAUAAAAAACAAAUUUUACCUGAUAAUACAAAAGAUAUAUCCUUAAACGAACAAGAAAGUAUAAACAAUAUAGAAAAUAAUACAAAUAAAAAAAAAAAUAAUACAAAUGAAAAAAAAAAUAAUACAAAUGAAAAAAAAAAAAAUACAAAUGAAAAAAAAAAAAAUAUAACAAAAAUCAAAAGCAUAUCAAAUGGUGUUGAAGAAAAGGGAGAACCCCCACUUAGAAAUGUAUACAAUAAUGUACAUGAUUAUGUAUAUAAUGGUACUAGUAAUAAUAAAGACCUUAGUAAUAAGAACCUUAGUAAUAAUGAGAACCUUAGUAAUAAGAACCUUAGUAAUAAUAAGAACCUUAGUAAUAAUAAGGAUAAUAGUAAGAAUGAGACUGCCAAAACAUGUGAUAAACAAAAUAACAAAGUAAAUAAAAUUGAUGAAAUGUUUAAAAAUAUGAUUCAAAAUAAUAAAAAAAAAGAAAUAAUAAUUCAUGAAAACAGUAACAACGAUUUUGAUAAUACAAAUUCAGAAAAAAAAAGUAUUAACAAAGAUUUAAGCGAUAUUAAUAAUUCCAUUAAAAAACAAAAGGAUGUAUGCCAAAAAAAUAUUAAUGAUAUGCUGGGACAUACGACAGAUGUUGACAGCAAAAGUGAUGAUACAAGUAAAGGUACUCAUGAUAAUCAAAAUAAUUAUAAGUUAGAUAGCAAUACUAAUAAUGGUAACGAUUUAAAAAUUGAAGCAACUAAUAAAAUGGAAAAAAUUAAUAAGAGAAAAAAAGUUACUACACCAGAAAAUAAUAUAAAUAACAACAACGAAUGUAAUAAUAACAACAGUAUUAAUAAUAGUGAUAAUAGCAAUGCUAAUUUAUUAGAAGAAAGUGAUUAUAUCCAUAAUUUAAAAAACAAUUCAAAAGUAAGUCUUCCGUAUUUUGCAACCGAUCAGAGAGAAAAAUUAAUUAAAGAAACAAAUGAGUUUUUCAAGAUGUAUAACUUACACCUGAAAAUUGAACAGCUACCAACAAGUAUGCCUGAUUAUAUAAAAUUAUUAAUAAAAAAAAAAGAUCAUAUUUUUAAUAUAAUUAACGAUUAUAAAAAUGAAUUAAAAAAAUGUGUAAAUAAAAGAACCGACACAAAAGUAAUGGACGAAUUUAAUGAAAAGGUAUAUGAUACAAUAGACACAUAUAUUGGUCAAAAUUGUGAACAAAACAAACAAAAAAAUGGUGACAAAUGUGGUGACAAAAAUGGUGAUAAAAGUGGCGACAAAAAUGGUGAUAAAAGCGGUGAUAAAAACGGUGAUAAAAGUAGUGAAAAAAGCGGUGACAAAAACUGUGAUAAAAGUAAUGACAAAAGCGGUGAUAAAAUUGAAGAUCGAAAUGAUGGCGAUAGCAACAACAACAACAACGAAGCAUGUUACGAAAAAAAAAAAAAAAAUUUCUGUGCGAAUGAAAACGAUGAUGUUAUAAAGGCGAACGACACCAAAAUAAGAAAUCGCAUAGGAUUAAAAAACAAAAAAGAACAAAGUAAAAAAAACAUAAAAAAAAAGUACACUUAUUAUGAUAAUUUAAAUUAUUUAAGUGAUAGCUCUAAAGACAUAAUAGAGAAAGAAUAUAGUAUUUUUUUAAAUAUGUUUGAAAACAUGAAUAAAAGUGAAAGUGGUUAUGUAAAAAAAACGAUAGAAGUAAAAGGCGAUGUAAAAAAAACGAUAGAAGUAGAAUGUGAUGUAAAAAAGACGAUAGAAGUAGAAGGUGAUAAUAAUAAAAAAGAGAAUAAUUGUGACAAAGAAAAGAGCAACAAUUUUUUUAUAAAAGAGAUAAUAAAAGAUUUAAUAUUUAACAAUAAAGAAGAAACACAUUACUUCAAAUACAAAAGUCUCGAGGCUGAGUAUAAGGAAGAAAAAUAUAAUAAAUUAAAAGAAAUUAUAAUAAAACUAAAAAUAAAAGAAAAAAAAAUUGAUACAAUUUUAAGUAAUACUUAUGAAUUUUUUAAAUAUUUUAAUAUACAUAGACAUCGUUAUUUUUUAUAUGAAAAAAUGAUAAUUAAUUGGAAUUAUGUUGAAAAUAUGGUAAAUAAAAAAAGUGAUAUAAGGAAUAAAAAUUUACCUUUUGAUUUGUUAAAAACGGAUAAAGAUUAUUUUAUAAAUUUAAAAAAAAAUUAUAAUGAUAUAUUACUUGGAAAAUUUAAUGGUAUAUUAAUUACAUUAAAUACUAAAAAAUUUAAUACAAAUUCUAUAAAUGGUUGUUCUAUUGGAUUAUCGAAGAUUAUUUGUGGCUGUUUAGUUCAGUAUACAGGAAAAUGUAAGGUAAAUAUUAAAAGUAUUUGGACACAUCCUUUUCUUAAUACGAAAUCAACUUAUCAUAUUCUGUGCGCAUUCUUACCUCGAAUUAUAUUAGAAGCAUUUAUAAACAAUAACAAUAGUACUGUGUAUAAGGAGAAGAGAAAUUCGUAUGAGCAUGAGGUCCCUAUGAAAGCAUGCAUAGACAAUACCGAGUAUUUAAAGGGUUUAUAUCGUGCAAGUGAUGAGAGGUGUUUAGACAAGAAAAUACCCACAAAUGUAAAUAAAAGUACAACCGAUGUCAAUAUAGAGCAGAACGAUGAAAAUAUUAGCCACUUCUCGGCUUAUGAAUAUCCAGCUAUGUAUUUUUUAAAUUUUAACAAAAAAUGCUCAUUAUAUUUAAAUAACAUACUAAACAAUGUUAAUAAGGAAUCAAUUACCGAACAAGAACAGAAUAAACUAACUUCUAAUUCUAUAUGUCUAAAUAAUAAAGAAAAUAAUACUACCACUCCAAAAUAUACAGAACUUAAGAAAAAAAAUAAUACAUUCAUAUAUAUUAUUUUUAGUGAUCUGGAUAUUUUCCCUAGACAAUGCUAUUUGUUAUUAUGCUCUUAUAAAUAUAUGUGCUUAAAUAUGCAUUAUGACAAAUCGAGUUCAAGUAUCUCGCUUCAUUAUGACUUAAAUGUAAAUAAUAUUCAAAAAGAAAAUGUGGGUAAAAACAUGGAAGUAUCUAAUGUAUGUCCCUGUUCACUUGUUAAAAAUGAUUCCUCAGAUGAUGAAAAUUCUUAUGAACGCAUUAUUGGUUGUAGCGAGCUGUACAUGUACUACAUGAUCCCGAAAAAAGAAGAGAGGCAAGAACUAGGGUUACUAGAACGUACUGGGUGGAGGGACUUAAUUUUAAACACAUUUAAUGAAGAAAUAAAUGAAAAUAUAUGUAACAUUAUAAAAAUUAGAACAAACGUAAAUAAUUUAUAUUCUCAUAUUCUUACCCAAAAUAAAAUAAAUGAAAAGAAAUAUACAUCAGCAUAUAUUAAUCAAUAUGAAUGGUGCGGGUUAAAAAUGAAGGAUAUACGUAAUAUGAUGCUUGAUAAUUUUAAUUAUGAGUCACCCAUUAAAAAAACAUAAAAAUAUAAGCAUUUAAUGAAAAAAUAUGUACCACUAUAUAAUUAAUAGGAACAAAAGAGUGCGUAUAUAUAUUAAUAAGCAAUAAAAAGUGAUUAACUCAGGAGCA